CCUACGGGAGGCUGCAGUGGGGAAUUUUGCGCAAUGCUCGUAAGAGUGACGCAGCGACGCCGCGUGAAUGACGAAGGCCUUCGGGUCGUAAAGUUCUUUCGACAGGGAAGAACGGUCACUGUGCUAAUCAGCAGUGAAUUGACGGUACCUGCAAAGGAAGCACCGGCUAACUCCGUGCCAGCAGCCGCGGUAAUACGGAGGGUGCGAGCGUUAAUCGGAAUUACUGGGCGUAAAGCGCUCGUAGGCGGUAGGUCAAGUCAAGGGUGAAAUCACCGCGCUCAACGUGGGAACUGCCUUUGAAACUGGCAAACUGGAGUGUGUGAGAGGAUAGUGGAAUUCCAGGUGUAGGAGUGAAAUGCGUAGAUAUCUGGAGGAACAUCAGUGGCGAAGGCGACUAUCUGGCACAUAACUGACGCUGAGGAGCGAAAGCGUGGGUAGCAAACAGGAUUAGAUACCCCAGUAGUC
rnacentral:rRNA from 1 species